CUGACCGUAAACGAUGCCAACUAGCGAUCGGCCGGUGGAUUUUUAGCCCUGGUCGGUAGCUUCCCGGAAACGAAAGUCUUCCGGUUCCGGGGGAAGUAUGGUUGCAAAGCUGAAACUUAAAGGAAUUGACGGAAGGGCACCACCAGGAGUGGAGCCUGCGGCUUAAUUUGACUCAACACGGGGAAACUCACCCGGCCCGGACACCGUAAGGAUUGACAGAUUGAUAGCUCUUUCAUGAUUCGGUGGUUGGUGGUGCAUGGCCGUUCUUAGUUCGUGGAUCGAUUUGUCUGGUUUAUUCCGAUAACGAGCGAGACUCUAGCCUACUAAAUAGUGGCGGGAUUACCUCCGUGUUGUCCCGUCCGCUUCUUAGAGGGAUUUUCGGUGUUUAGCCGCACGAGAUUGAGCAAUAACAGGUCUGUGAUGCCCUUAGAUGUCCGGGGCUGCACGCGCGCUACACUGGCGAAAUCAGCGUGCUUUAUCCAUUCUCGAAGGGAUUGGUAAACCCAUGAAAAUUCGCCGUGCUUGGGAUCGGAAAUUGCAAUUAUUUUCCGUGAACUCGGAAUUCCAAGUAAGUGCGAGUCAUCAACUCGCUCUG
rnacentral:rRNA from 1 species